rnacentral:rRNA from 1 species
CGCCUCUUGAUACAUUUAUAAGAGGUCAAGCCUGCCCGGUGACAAAGUUUAACGGCCGCGGUAUCCUGACCGUGCAAAGGUAGCGCAAUCACUUGUCUCCUAAAUAGGGACUAGUAUGAAUGGCAUCACGAAGACUAUACUGUCUCCCUCUCACCACCAGUGAAACUGAUCUUCCCAUGAAAAAGUGGGAAUACCCUUAUAAGACGAGAAGACCCCAUGGAGCUUUAAACUAGUAUUAUCUAUUUAACCUCAAAUCCCAAUAGCGCAACUAAUUAUAAUUACUAGUUUUCGGUUGGGGCAACCACGGAGUAAAGUAAAACCUCCGCGAUGUAUAGACCUUAUAUCUUUAUUUAAGAACUACACCUCUAAAAAUCAAUAUAUUGACAUAAAUUGACCUAUUAAGUUCAACGAACCAAGUUACCCUGGGGAUAACAGCGCAAUCCAUUUCAA